rnacentral:rRNA from 1 species
AGGACGAACGCUGGCGGCGUGCUUAACACAUGCAAGUCGAACGGUGAAGGAGAGCUUGCUCUCUGGAUCAGUGGCGAACGGGUGAGUAACACGUGAGUAACCUGCCCUUGACUCUGGGAUAAGCGUUGGAAACGACGUCUAAUACCGGAUACGAGCUUCAGUCGCAUGGCUAGGAGCUAGGAAA